AUUGAACGCUGGCGGCAGGCCUAACACAUGCAAGUCGAACGAGUGGCGGACGGGUGAGUAAUGUCUGUGAAACUGCCUGAUGGAGGGGGAUAACUACUGGAAACUGUAGCUAAUACCGCAUACCAUCGGAUGUGCCCAGAUGGGAUUAGCUAGUAGGUGGGGUAAAGGCUCACCUAGGCGACGAUCCCUAGCUGGUCUGCGAGGAUGACCAGCCAAACUGGAACUGAGACACGGGCCAGACUCCUACGGGAGGCAGCAGUGGGGAAUAUUGCACAAUGGGCGCAAGCCUGAUGCAGCCAUGACGCGUGUAUGAAGAAGGCCGUCGGGUUGUAAAGUACUGUCAGCGGGGAGGCGUUACCCGCAGAAGAAGCACCGGCGAACUCCGUGCCAGCAGCCGCGGUAAUUC
rnacentral:rRNA from 1 species